AUCAGAACGUAGUUAUUGUUUUGAAGUUAAAGAUCCAUCAGUUGUGUGAAAAAUAACAGUGCCCUGCACAUGGUCGUUGUUUGUCGUGUUUUGACUUGUCCUGUCCGCCCAGCAACUAUAAAUCCAUGCCUGGAGCCAAAUCUGGCACGUGCGAAAACACCAUUUGUACCAUCGCCUGUUUUGCAAGCACGGCUGUUUGUUGAUCUGGAACAGACCCGAAAACACAUUUCUACCAUCGCCUGUUUUGCAAGCCCGGCUGUUUGUUGAUUUGGGACAGACCUCGGGCCUGUGACCUAGAAACCUUUCAAAGGUCAGUGACUCAAUGCUUUCCCAAGGGACCUUAUGACCAGUUUUUGGAGAAGACCGAACAGGUUCAAACUGGUUUGAUCCCCCCCCGACCUAUGGCUUCUCCAAUCAGGGAGAAGUUUUAAAACAUUUGACCAAUAGGACAAAACUGCCCCCCUCCUGUCAAUCUUCCGACACUGGGAGGGUCCGGGUAUACACUCCGGUCCUUGUCUGUUGACGAGACAGAAGGAGCGGGGCGUCCGAGGCGUUAACAUGGGGUUUGGGGUCAUCUCAGCUGUAACUUUUCUGGACGUUACGACUGUAGUUUGGAGUCUGUUUCCGCUGCAGAUACAAGGACAUGCAUCACUUCUGACAAGGUAGCAUGGCCGCCCGCAGACUUCAGAAGGAAUUCACUGCUGCAUAAAGGUCAACUUCUCCAUGACUCUGGCCGCAAACAGAAUUCACUGGACCCCGGUCACGGAAACGCUGGGGCGUGUGCCGAUAUCACCCAGGAAAACAAACAAAAAAGCAAGAAAAGAAAAGAAACCAAUAGAGUAAAAAGUGGCAAAGGUCACCCGAAAACACAUGAUACAAAACACACAAAUAAAACAUAAAACCCUCCAACAAAACAACACUUCUAUCACACAGUAAGAAUACGCAAAAUAAAGGACAGCAUCAUGUAGUCAAAGAAGUCUGCCUGUCUUAAAAAGUCCAAUGU